rnacentral:tRNA from 1 species
GGAGGGAUGCCCGAGCUGGCCAAAGGGAGCAGACUGUAAAUCUGCCGGCGAAAGCCUUCGAAGGUUCGAAUCCUUCUCCCUCCACCA